rnacentral:rRNA from 1 species
CUACGGGGGGCUGCAGUGAGGAAUAUUGCACAAUGGGGGGAACCCUGAUGCAGCAACGCCGCGUGGAGGAUGACGCAUUUCGGUGUGUAAACCCCUUUUAUAUGUCAAGAAAAUGACGGUAGCAUAUGAAUAAGCACCGGCUAACUCCGUGCCAGCAGCCGCGGUAAUACGGAGGGUGCAAGCGUUACUCGGAAUCACUGGGCGUAAAGGACGCGUAGGCGGGUUGGAAAGUCAGGUGUGAAAUCCUACAGCUUAACUGUAGAACUGCACUUGAAACUUCUAAUCCAGAGUAUGGGAGGGGGAGAUGGAAUUAGUGGUGUAGGGGUAAAAUCCGUAGAUAUCACUAGGAAUACCUAAAGCGAAGGCGAUCUCCUGGAACAUUACUGACGCUAAGGCGUGAAAGCGUGGGGAGCAAACAGGAUUAGAUACCCUCGUAGUC